rnacentral:piRNA from 1 species
UGUGUGCUGGCCUUGGAUUCAGCCCC